GCCAGCCCAGCUCUAUCCUCUCCCACCACCCAUCGCUUCGCCGGUAUCCGCAGCCAGCCAGCGCCCAAGAAUGGCGUCGGCACCCUCCCGCGCCCUCCCCUUCCUCUCGCCGCCGUCCACCGCCCCCGCCUCCGCCUCCCUGCGCGCCCCCUCCAGCCGCCUCCGCUGCGCGGCCGCCGCCGGCCAGGCCGGCUUCUUCACCCGCCUCGGCCGCCUCAUCAAGGAGAAGGCCAAGAGCGACGUCGACAAGCUCUUCUCCGGCUUCUCCAAGACCCGCGAGAACCUCUCCGUCGUCGACGAGCUGCUCACCUACUGGAACCUCGCCGACACCGACCGCGUCCUCGACGACCUCGAGGAGGCGCUGCUGGUGUCGGACUUCGGGCCCAAGAUCUCGUUCCGGAUCGUCGACACCCUCCGCGACCAGAUCCGCGACGGCAAGCUCAAGUCCGGGACCGAGAUCAAGGCGUCGCUGAAGAGAUGCAUCCUCGAGCUGCUCACGACCAAGGGCAGCAAGACUGAGCUGCAGCUCGGCUUCAGGUUCUGCCUGCCCUCUGCUGGACUGAAUGAGGCAAUGGCCACUAGUUUACCAUUGUUGAGUGGUGUCUCAAUUUUGAGUGUGCUUGGUCGUUUUGGCAGGAAGCCGGCAGUCAUCAUGAUUGUGGGAGUGAACGGAGGCGGCAAGACGACAUCGCUAGGAAAACUUGCCUACAGAUUUAAGAAUGAAGGAGCCAAGGUAUUGAUGGCAGCAGGUGAUACCUUCCGGGCAGCAGCUCGUGACCAGCUAGAAAUUUGGGCUGAGAGGACUGGCUCAGAGAUUGUUAUCGAUAAUGAUAAGAAGGCACAGGCUCCAUCAGUUCUUUCGCAGGCAGUAAAACGUGGGAAGCGUGAAGGAUUUGAUGUUGUGCUGUGUGAUACGUCAGGACGUACGGACUUCAUACAAAUUACGGUCUGAUGGAAGAGUUGGUUUCUUGCAAGAAAGUCAUAGCUAAAGCCCUGCCUGGUGCUCCUAAUGAGAUCUUGCUGGUUCUGGAUGGCACAACUGGAUUAAAUAUGCUACAGCAAGCGAAGGAGUUCAACGAUGUUGUUGGAAUCACAGGAUUCAUCCUGACGAAGUUAGACGGGACUGCUCGUGGUGGCUGCGUGGUGAGCGUGGUAGACGAACUUGGAAUUCCAGUCAAGUUUGUUGGCGUCGGCGAAGGGGUGGAAGAUCUCCAACCUUUUGAUGCAGAGGCAUUUGUUGAAGCCAUUUUCCCAUAAAUUUGACCCUGUUACUAGUGUUUCUCAUGUAACAAGAUUUUGGCUAACAUGCUAGAACUUAUUAGAAGCAAUUUUUUUCAACAAUUACAGUUUUUUUGGUUCA